GAUUGCAGGCUGCAACUCGCCUGCAUGAAGUCGGAAUUGCUAGUAAUCGUGGAUCAGCAUGCCACGGUGAAUACGUUCCCGGGCCUUGUACACACCGCCCGUCACACCAUGGGAGUCGGUAACACCCGAAGCCUGUAGUCUAACCGCAAGGAGGACGCAGUCGAAGGUGGGAUUGAUGACUGGGGUGAAGUCGUAACAAGGUAUC
rnacentral:rRNA from 1 species